rnacentral:rRNA from 1 species
AUAUUGGACAAUGGGCGCAAGCCUGAUCCAGCCAUGCCGCGUGAGUGAUGAAGGCCUUAGGGUUGUAAAGCUCUUUCGCCAGGGACGAUAAUGACGGUACCUGGAUAAGAAGCCCCGGCUAACUUCGUGCCAGCAGCCGCGGUAAUACGAAGGGGGCUAGCGUUGUUCGGAAUCACUGGGCGUAAAGCGCACGUAGGCGGAUCUUUAAGUCAGGGGUGAAAUCCCGAGGCUCAACCUCGGAACUGCCUUUGAUACUGGGGAUCUCGAGUCCGGGAGAGGUGAGUGGAACUGCGAGUGUAGAGGUGAAAUUCGUAGAUAUUCGCAAGAACACCAGUGGCGAAGGCGGCUCACUGGCCCGGAACUGACGCUGAGGUGCGAAAGCGUGGGGAGCAAACAGG